rnacentral:rRNA from 1 species
UACGAAGGGGGCUAGCGUUGUUCGGAUUUACUGGGCGUAAAGCGCACGUAGGCGGAUGUGCCAGUCAGGGGUGAAAUCCCGGAGCUCAACUCCGGAACUGCCUCUGAUACAGCACGUCUUGAGUCCGGAAGAGGUGGGUGGAAUUCCUAGUGUAGAGGUGAAAUUCGUAGAUAUUAGGAAGAACACCGGUGGCGAAGGCGGCCCACUGGUCCGGUACUGACGCUGAGGUGCGAAAGCGUGGGGAGCAAACAGG